rnacentral:rRNA from 1 species
GAUGAACGCUGGCGGCGUGCCUAAUACAUGCAAGUCGAGCGAACAGAUGAGAAGCUUGCUUCUCUGAUGUUAGCGGCGGACGGGUGAGUAACACGUGGGUAACCUACCUAUAAGACUGGGAUAACUCCGGGAAACCGGGGCUAAUACCGGAUAAUAUUUUGAACCGCAUGGUUCGAUAGUGAAAGACGGUUUCGCCUGUCACUUAUCGAUGGACCCGCGCCGUAUUAGCUAGUUGGUAAGGUGACGGCUUACCAAGGCGACGAUACGUAGCCGACCUGAGAGGGUGAUCGGCCACACUGGAACUGAGACACGGUCCAGACUCCUACGGGAGGCAGCAGUAGGGAAUCUUCCGCAAUGGGCGAAAGCCUGACGGAGCAACGCCGCGUGAGUGAUGAAGGUCUUCGGAUCGUAAAACUCUGUUGUUAGGGAAGAACAAAUUUGUUAGUAACUGAACAAGUCUUGACGGUACCUAACCAGAAAGCCACGGCUAACUACGUGCCAGCAGCCGCCGUAA